rnacentral:rRNA from 1 species
GACGAACGCUGGCGGCGUGCUUAACAUAUGCAAGUCGAACGGUAAGGCCCUUCGGGGUACACGAGUGGCGAACGGGUGAGUAACACGUGGGUGAUCUGCCCUGCACUUCGGGAUAAGCCUGGGAAACUGGGUCUAAUACCGGAUAGGACCCUGGGAUGCAUGUCCUGGGGUGGAAAGCUUUUGCGGUGUGGGAUGGGCCCGCGGCCUAUCAGCUUGUUGGUGGGGUGAUGGCCUACCAAGGCGACGACGGGUAGCCGGCCUGAGAGGGUGACCGGCCACACUGGGACUGAGAUACGGCCCAGACUCCUACGGGAGGCAGCAGUGGGGAAUAUUGCACAAUGGGCGCAAGCCUGAUGCAGCGACGCCGCGUGAGGGAUGACGGCCUUCGGGUUGUAAACCUCUUUCAGCACCGACGAAGCGCAAGUGACGGUAGGUGCAGAAGAAGGACCGGCCAACUACGUGCCAGCCGCCGCGGUAA